CAGAGACUCAGUCUCAAAAAAACAAACAAAAAACUGAACUCGGAUUCCAGCCAAAUCUGGAUUUCUCACCUCCGUGAAGGGUACAACUGGAGACCCUGUUCCUUGAUCUAGAAACCUGAGCGUCACCUUUACCUCCUCCCUUUCGCACAGUUGCUGUCUUCCGCCAAUUACAUGCCCUUCUUCCUUCUCAGUUCCUCUCAAACUCUUAUGUCACCCACGCCAGCCCUUGUCCUGGCCACCACCUGCUCACCUGAAUUGUUGCCACUGCCUCCCAACAGGUCUCCCUCCCUCCAGCCAGACGCCCUACAAUCUGCCCUCACCUCACUGCCAGAAUGAUCUUCUGGAAGCAGAGGUGGAGCUGAACCUGUAUUCAAGCCGUCAGUUGGAAUCCAAACAGUUAUAGGACUGACUUCAGGCUCCAUGGCCAGGAACCCAUGAGUCUUUGUAGCCAGGCUCCAGCCAGCACUUCCUGCAUCAUUUCUGACCAGUUUCCCAAAUUGCUUUCCCUGCUGCCUUCCUGCCCCCACUGACCCAAUACAGAACCCUGUACUCUCAAGGUCACGCCACUCUCUUCUGUUUCUAGACAGCAUUCCUUCUGCGUGGAACAUGCCAACCCUCGUCUGCUUUGACUUUGCAAAACUGCAUGAGACCGCCGGGCGCGGUGGCUCACGCCUGUAAUCCCAGCACUUCAAGAGGCCGAGGCAGACAGAUCACCUGAGGUCAGGAGUUUGAGGCCAGCCUGGCCAGCAUGGUGAAACCCCGUCUCUACUAAAAAUACAAAAAAUCAGCCAGUAAUCCUAGCUACUCGGGAGGCUGAGGCAGGAGAAUCGCUUGAACCCAGGAAGCAGAGGUUGCAGUGAGCCGAGGUCAUGCCAUUGCACUCCAGCCUGGGCUACAAGAGUGAAACUCCGUCUCAAAAAAGAAAAAAAAAAAGAAAAAAAGACUGCAUAUGACUCCCCAGUGAAGCCCUCCCUGAUUGGCCUCUGCAGAAGGCAGCAUGCCCGGGCUUUGGAGUCAGACCUGCAUACAAAUCCUUGUUUUGCCGGUGUGACCUUGCCAAGUCUUCUUUCCUGCAGGACAGAAGGCGGCAGCAGCUCUCCCUGAACUGGCACUCUGGCUUCUCUUGCCCCAGGGUCUGUUUCUGCUCCUUGGACAGCAGGCGCAUGUGGGAACUGUGCCCUCUUCAGCCAUGAGCCCCUGUUCUGCGCACAUCUAGCCCAUCUUCCAGAUGGACAGACAGUCUGUGGUCGUCGCCAAACCCCUGAAUCUGGCCCUGCCCGCAGUCAGAGGGAUGGCAAUUUGUAAGCUACAGACUAUUGCGAAUCAUUCACUUGGAGACUGAACUAAGACUACUGGCACCAGGCUCCGUAGACCCUCGGGAAGAGCAUGGUCUGGCAGGCAGACUGGAUGUGGCCACAGAUAACAUCCCCUAAGGGGAGAGCGUGAGCCUGCAGGCCAGAAUGCCACCACUUUCUCCUGUGUCGUUCCAGAGAGAGCCUGUGGCUAUGCACGCUUGCUGCUACAGAGGGUAGUGCUGUAUACCUCCUGGGCUCACUUACUGACUUUUCAGUCUAAGGGCUUAUUGCAAUUGGUACAUAACGAUCAUACUUUGUAAUGGUUAAGUAAUAUUCCAUCAUAUGGAUGUGUUGUUUAUUUAACAUUCUGGUUGAAUAACCAAGACUUUUAGGUUUCCAGUUUUCCAGGAACAUCAUGCCCCUCCAUCAUUUGCCCACCUGGAAGGAUAACUACAGGAUAAGCAGCUCUUAGAACUGGAAUUGCUGAGUUAACUGCUCUGUGCAUUUCCUUGCUUUUUCUUGCUUUUCUUUUCUUUCUUUUAUUAUUUUUUUGGGUAAAUUUUUAUUGAACUAUAGCAUAGCGUAGAUACAGGAAAGUGUAAAAACUUAAAUGUACAAUUCAAUGAAUUUUCGCUAGGCAAACACUGUGUCACCAGCACCCAGAUUUAGAAACAGAAUAUUACCAGAAUCCCAAAAGCCCCAUGAGCUGCCGUCCAGUCACUACUUACCGUUUCCCUGAUCCCCUGCAUAGGAUAAUCCUUAUCAUGGCUUCUGACACUUUCGGUUGGUUUUGGAUGUACUGACACUUUUUGUGUGUGUGUGACACUUUUAUAAUACAAAGAAAAUCAUACAGUAUG
rnacentral:lncRNA from 1 species